CGGAGAGGGAGCAUGAGAAACGGCUACCACAACUAAGGCUGGCAGCAGGCGCGCAAAUUGCCCAAUAGCAACACAUCGCUGAUGCAGCGAAGAGAAAUAGCAACUUCAUGCGGCCCUGCCGUGUGAAGAUUGCCAUGGACGAUAUCUAAACCUGUCGGUGAGUAUCAAUUGGUGGACAAGUCUGGUGCCAGCACCCGCGGUAAUUCUGACUGUUAAAAAGCUCGUAGUUGGAUCAAGAGUUGGACAGUGCACGGUGGCCUGGUUGGUCUAACUUGGAUCCGUUCAGGUUAGCCGCUACGGAAUCACCCCGUGCGCCAAACUGUCCACUCUAACAGGCCGAAACGGUUCCCUGUGAGUAGGCUCCUUCAUUGGGGUCGAAAGCGCCUACGCAUCAACCAUAUGCAUACGGGACGUCGGCCAAAGUUACUGUGACAGGCUUUCGCCUGAAUGUUCGAGCAUGGAAUAACAAGGGAUCGAUUCUCUCGGUUCUUUUUGUUGGUUUUUAACCCGAGAAGGAGUAAUUCAGGCCACGGUGUCUGAGUUGGGUUACCCGAGCCCUUGGGUGAGGCCCCAAUUAGGCCGUGUCCUUACGGGAUCAAUAGGGACUGACGGGGUCGUACGUACUUCCGCGUCAGAGGUGAAAUUCUUAGAUCGCGGGAAGACGAACUUCUGCGAAAGCAUUCGACAAUAAUGUCUUCAUUAAUCAAGAACGAGAGUGUGGGGAUCGAAGAUGAUCAGAUACCGUCGUAGUCCACUACUGUAAACAAUGCCGUCUCAGGAUUGAGAAGUGAACUGAAUGACUUUCACAGCACUAACCCCUGAAACGAGAAAUCAAAGAUUAUGGGUUCAGGGGGGAGUACAUUCGCAAGGCUGAAACUUAAAGGAAUUGACGGAAUGACACCACAAGGCGUGGAGUAUGCGGCUUAAUUUGACUCAACACGGGGAAUUUUACUAGGUCAGGACAAUGUAAGGAUUGACAGAUUGAGAGCUCUUUCUCGAUCCAUUGUGUGGUGGUGCAUGGCCGCUCCUGGUUGGUGGAGUGAUUUGUCUGGUUGAUUCCGUUAACGAACGAGAUCUCGAUCCUUAAAUAGGUGCCCGUGUCGAUUGUAGUUUCGCUCCUGCUCGCUUGCGAGAUUUGGACGGGACGAGACUGCGGGAAUACUUCUUAAGGGGACUGUAUGCGUUUAUAGCAUGCGGAAGAGCGAGCCAAUAGCAGGUCUGUGAUGCUCCUAAAUGUCCUAGGCUGCACGCGCACUACACUGAUGCAAUCAACGAGUCUGAUUGCCUUCUGGCAACCUACCUGGAAGCGGGUGGGAAAUGUUUUGAACUUGCAUCGUGAUGAGGAUCGAGGAUUGCAAUUAUUAUCCUUGAAUGAGGAAUGCCUAGUAGGCACAAGUCAUCAGCUUGUACUGAUUACGUCCCUGCCAUUUGUACACACCGCCCGUCGUUGCUACUGAUUGGCUGUAGGGUAGAGAUCGGCGGAUUCCGGACCGUUGGGGCAACUCUUCAGUUUGGGAGAAACCUAUCAAUAUUCUGCAGCUAGAAGAAGCAAAAGUCGUAACAAGG
rnacentral:rRNA from 1 species